rnacentral:lncRNA from 1 species
UUCCUUUAGGUAAAGAGACCAGGACAGCAAGCAGAGGUAUGUUAUGUUAAGGUUGUUGUGUAUAUUUAUGCCCUCUCUGCCCAUUUCCUUUAGGUAAAAAGACCAGGACAGCAAGCAGAGGUAUGUUAUGUUAGUUUGUUGUGUAUAUUAUGCCCUUCUGUCCAUUUCCUUUAGGUAAAGAAACCAGGACAGCAACAGAGUUGUUAUGUUAAGUUGUUGUGUAUAAUUUAUGCUCUCUGCCCAUUUCUUUAGGUAAAGAUACCAGACAGCAAGCAGAGGUAUGUUAUGUGGUUGUGGUUAAUUUAUAUGCCCUCUCUGUCCCAUUUCCUUUAGGUAAAGAGACCAGGACAGCAAGCAGAGGUAUGUUAUGUUAAGGUUGUUGUGUAUAUUAUGCCCUCUCUGUCCCAUAUUUCUUUAGGUAAGAGGUAAAGAGACCAGGACAGGAAGCAGAGGUAUGUUAUGUUAAGGUGUUGUGUAUAGUUAUGCCCUCUCUGUCCAUUUCUUUAGGUAGAGACCAGGACAGCAAGCAGAGGUAUGUUAUGUUAAGUUGUUGUGUAUAUUUAUGCCUCUCUGUCCAUUUCCUAGGUAAAGAGACCAGGACAGCAAGCGGAGGUAUGUUAUGUAAGGUUGUGUGUAUUUUUGCCCUCUCUGCCCAUUUCCUUUGGUAAAGAACCAGGACAGCAAGCAGAGGUAUGUUAUGUUAAGGUUGGUAUAUUUAUGCCCUCUCUGCCCUUCCUUUCGUAAAGAACAGGACAGCAAGCAGAGGUAUUUAUGUUAAGGUUGUUAUGUAUAUUUAUGCUCUCUGUCCCUUUCCUUUAGGUAAAGAGACCAGGCAGCAGCAGAGGUAUGUUAUGUUAAGUUGUUUUGUAUAUUUAUGCCUCUCUGUCCCAUUUCCUUUGGUAAAGAGACGGACAGCAAGCAGAGGUAUGUUAUGUUAAGGUUGUUUUGUAUAUUUAUGCCCUCUCUGUCCAUUCCUUGGUAAAGAGACCAGGACAAGCAGAGGUAUGUUAUGUUAAGUUUGUUGUGUAUAAUUAUGCCUCUCUGUCCCAUUUCCUUUAGGUAAAGAAGUCCAGGACAUAGAAGGUAUGUUAUGUUAAGUUUGUUGUGUAUAGUUAUGCCUCUCUGUCCCAUUUCCUUUGUAAAGAGCCCAGGACAGCAAGCAGAGGUAUUUUAGUUAAGGUUGUUGUGUAUAUUUAUGCCCUCUCUGUCCCAUUUCCUUUAGGUAAAGAGUCCAGGACAGCAAGCAGAGGUAUGUUAUGUUAAGGUUGUUUUUGUAUAUUUAUGCCCUCUCUGUCCCAUUUCCUUUAGGUAAAGAGACCAGGACAGCAAGCAGAGGUAUGUUUAUGUUAAGGUUGUUGUGUAUAUUUAUGCCCUCUCUGUCCCAUUUCCUUUAGGUAGAGACCAGGACAGCAAGCAGAGGUAUGUUAUGGUAAGGUUGUUUUGUAUAUUUAUGCCCUCUCUGCCCUAUUUCCUUUAGUUAAAGAGACCAGAACAGCAAGCAGAGGUAUGUUAUGUUGAGGUUGUUGUGUACAUUUAUGCCCUCUCUGCCCAUUUCCUUUAGUAAAGAGACCAGGACAGCAAGCAGAGGUAUGUUAUGUUAAGGUUGUUGUGUAUAUUUAUGCCUCUCUGUCCCAUUUCCUUUAGGUAAAGAGACCAGGACAGCAAGCAGAGGUAUGUUAUGUUAAGGUUGUUGUGUAUAUUUAUGCCCUCUCUGCCAUUUCCUUUAGGUAAAAAG